AUUGAACGCUGGCGGCAUGCUUUACACAUGCAAGUCGAACGGUAACAGGCCGCAAGGUGCUGACGAGUGGCGAACGGGUGAGUAAUGCAUCGGAACGUGCCCAGUCGUGGGGGAUAACGCAGCGAAAGCUGUGCUAAUACCGCAUACGAUCCAUGGAUGAAAGCGGGGGACCGUAAGGCCUCGCGCGAUUGGAGCGGCCGAUGUCAGAUUAGGUAGUUGGUGGGGUAAAGGCUCACCAAGCCAACGAUCUGUAGCUGGUCUGAGAGGACGACCAGCCAGACUGGGACUGAGACACGGCCCAGACUCCUACGGGAGGCAGCAGUGGGGAAUUUUGGACAAUGGGCGCAAGCCUGAUCCAGCAAUGCCGCGUGCAGGAAGAAGGCCUUCGGGUUGUAAACUGCUUUUGUACGGAACGAAACGGCGAGCUCUAAUACAGUUUGCUAAUGACGGUACCGUAAGAAUAAGCACCGGCUAACUACGUGCCAGCAGCCGCCGCCG
rnacentral:rRNA from 1 species